GACGAACGCUGGCGGCGUGCUUAACACAUGCAAGUCGAACGAGAAUCUGUGGAAAGAGGAUUCGUCCAAUUGAAGCAGAGGACAGUGGCGGACGGGUGAGUAACGCGUGAGGAACCUGCCUUUCAGAGGGGGACAACAGUUGGAAACGACUGCUAAUACCGCAUGACACAUCGGGGUCGCAUGGCUCUGAUGUCAAAGAUUUAUUGCUGAAAGAUGGCCUCGCGUCUGAUUAGCUAGUUGGUGAGGUAACGGCCCACCAAGGCGACGAUCAGUAGCCGGACUGAGAGGUUGAACGGCCACAUUGGGACUGAGAUACGGCCCAGACUCCUACGGGAGGCAGCAGUGGGGAAUAUUGGGCAAUGGGCGCAAGCCUGACGGAGCAACGCCGCGUGAGUGAAGAAGGUUUUCGGAUCGUAAAGCUCUGUUGAGAGGGACGAGAGAUAUAAUCAGGAAAUGGGUUAUAGAGGACGGUACUUUCGAGGAAG
rnacentral:rRNA from 1 species